rnacentral:misc_RNA from 1 species
GAAAUGCGAUAAGUAAUGUGAAUUGCAGAAUUCAGUGAAUCAUCGAAUCUUUGAACGCACAUUGCGCCCGCCAGCAUUCUGGCGGGCAUGCCUGCCCGAGCGUCAUCUCAACCCUCGCGCCCCCAGCGCGGUGUUGGGGACCGGCCGAGCCCCCCCAAGGGGCGCGCGCCGCCCCCGAAAUACAGUGGCGGUCCCGCCGACGCCUCCCCUGCGUAGUAGCAACACCUCGCACCGGAGCGCGGCGCGGCCCACGCCGUAAAAUCAGCGCGCCACCCCCGGCGCACGACCCCACGAGUUUGACCUCGGAUCAGGUAGGAAUACCCGCUGAACUUAAGC